rnacentral:rRNA from 1 species
UGGGGAAUAUUGGACAAUGGGCGAAAGCCUGGUCCAGCCAUGCCGCGUGUGUGAAGAAGGUCUUCGGAUUGUAAAGCACUUUAAGUUGGGAGGAAGGGCAGUAAGCGAAUACCUUGCUGUUUUGACGUUACCGACAGAAUAAGCACCGGCUAACUCUGUGCCAGCAGCCGCGGUAAUACAGAGGGUGCGAGCGUUAAUCGGAUUUACUGGGCGUAAAGCGUGCGUAGGCGGCUAAUUGAGUCGGAUGUGAAAUCCCCGAGCUUAACUUGGGAAUUGCAUUCGAUACUGGUUAGCUAGAGUGUGGGAGAGGAUGGUAGAAUUCCAGGUGUAGCGGUGAAAUGCGUAGAGAUCUGGAGGAAUACCGAUGGCGAAGGCAGCCAUCUGGCCUAACACUGACGCUGAGGUACGAAAGCAUGGGGAGCAAACAGG